UGGGGAAUUUUGGACAAUGGGCGAAAGCCUGAUCCAGCAAUGCCGCGUGUGUGAAGAAGGCCUUCGGGUUGUAAAGCACUUUUGUCCGGAAAGAAAUCCUUGGCCCUAAUACAGUCGGGGGAUGACGGUACCGGAAGAAUAAGCACCGGCUAACUACGUGCCAGCAGCCGCGGUAAUACGUAGGGUGCAAGCGUUAAUCGGAAUUACUGGGCGUAAAGCGUGCGCAGGCGGUUUGCUAAGACCGAUGUGAAAUCCCCGGGCUCAACCUGGGAACUGCAUUGGUGACUGGCAGGCUAGAGUAUGGCAGAGGGGGGUAGAAUUCCACGUGUAGCAGUGAAAUGCGUAGAGAUGUGGAGGAAUACCGAUGGCGAAGGCAGCCCCCUGGGCCAAUACUGACGCUCAUGCACGAAAGCGUGGGGAGCAAACAGGAUUAGAUACCCUGGUAGUCCACGCCCUAAACGAUGUCAACUAGUUGUUGGGGAUUCAUUUCCUUAGUAACGUAGCUAACGCGUGAAGUUGACCGCCUGGGGAGUACGGUCGCAAGAUUAAAACUCAAAUGAAUUGACGGGGUCAUAGCUGUUU
rnacentral:rRNA from 1 species